GGGCAUCCGAAGCAGAAGUGUUCCAGCCUAUUCAGCAGCGAGUGGUUGGAAAUUAGCAAAGUGAGAGGGUGCGUGGCGUAACUGAGGGACUCGGGGAGGCUGAGGGCUUUUUUUCUCAAAACUGUGAAGCUCAGGGAAAGGAGUAGAACUGGGAACCAAGUAAAGUAAAAUCGUGGCAAGUGGGCAUAGUCCUGAAAUCUCCUUCGUGAGGGCCCUCCAGUUGGGAACCCAGAACGUGCAGCUCAAUGUAUGUUUGGAAUGAAUAGGUGAAAGGAAGCAGGAGGAGGAGGGAGUUCUAGCGAAGACUCCGGAGGGAAGCAACCCAUCCCCUGCCGCAAGAAAGCACUGCCACUCCAGUGGGAACGGACACGCGUGCACACAGCCACGAGUGAGAGCUGGCGAAGCUGGGCCAAGGAAAGCGAUAGUGCCAGCUGAGUGGAAUGUGCAGGAAGGGACCGAGGAGGGGCACUAUGUACUGGAGAAAAGAGAUGGGGUCUCCAGGACAGGGGAGAUGGUGAUGACACUCCCAAGUCCAUGUGGGAAUCCCUCCUUCUGUGGGCCUCAGUCUGUCAUCUUCCUUGGAGCAGGACCAAAGUAAAUAAGAUAAAGUCACAAUUUCUCAUCCUUCUUCACUCAACUUUUCUUUGAGGUGAGUUGGCAUUUUUGUAAAAGAAUGCAUUCUCUGCCAGGUGCGGUGGCUCACCCCUGUAAUCCCAG
rnacentral:lncRNA from 1 species